ACUUAGCGGCGGACGGGUGAGUAACGCGUGGGUAACCUGCCUUAUACAGGGGGAUAACAGUUAGAAAUGACUGCUAAUACCGCAUAAGCGCACGGGAACGCAUGUUUCUGUGUGAAAAACUGAGGUAGUAUAAGAUGGACCCGCGUCUGAUUAGCUAGUUGGUGGGGUAACGGCCUACCAAGGCGACGAUCAGUAGCCGGCCUGAGAGGGUGGACGGCCACAUUGGGACUGAGACACGGCCCAAACUCCUACGGGAGGCAGCAG
rnacentral:rRNA from 1 species